AAAUUUCAGAAGUGGAUGUCAAAGUCGCAGAAAUUCGUCUCUACUGUCAAAGUCUAUAAAAAGUAAAGAUUGUCUAUCUCGCCUUAGCAUUAUUAUAAUACUCGUAAGUCCUUCAUAUGAAAUUAACCUAAGUAUGCAUCAUUGCUAUCUAUGAACUAAGGCAGUAGUUCAUUGAUCCCUUUACUAAGAAGUCCAUCCGGAAAGGAAUCAAUUUAAACUCUUUGAAGAUGAUUUUGGAUGCGCCAUCUGAGUUGAAUUACUAACACUUCAGCCAGUACCUAACUCAGACGCCCUCAAAAAGGCAACAUCAGCUCGACUCGGUUGGAGGUGGAGAGAAGUUCGGAACUGGUUUCACCAUCGCCGACAUUAACAAAACCACAGCAUUUUUAGAAGAUUUUACCGCCAAUACGACAUAAUCAACCUCCAAAUAUAACAUUGCUCUACUAGCAACUCCGAUGCGUGGCAACUUUACACUGUUUUCGUAAAUAACAUUAUUCCAACUAUUGCGAUUGCGAUGUAAAUUUGAAUAAAGUCUUUAUAAUUUUA